rnacentral:rRNA from 1 species
GAUGAACGCUGGCGGCGUGCCUAAUACAUGCAAGUAGAACGCUGAAGGAGGAGCUUGCUCUUCUGGAUGAGUUGCGAACGGGUGAGUAACGCGUAGGUAACCUGCCUGGUAGCGGGGGAUAACUAUUGGAAACGAUAGCUAAUACCGCAUGACAACAGUUAUUGCAUGAUAACUGUUUAAAAGGGGCAACUGCUCCACUACCAGAUGGACCUGCGUUGUAUUAGCUAGUUGGUGAGGUAACGGCUCACCAAGGCGACGAUACAUAGCCGACCUGAGAGGGUGAUCGGCCACACUGGGACUGAGACACGGCCCAGACGCCUACGGGAGGCAGCAGUAGGGAUUCGUCGGCAAUGGACGGAAGUCUGACCGAGCAACGCCGCGUGAGUGAAGAAGGUUUUCGGAUCGUAAAGCUCGGUUGUAAGAGAAGAACGAGUGUGAGAGUGGAAAGUUCACACUGUGACGGUAUCUGACCAGAAAGGGACGGCUAACUACGUG